rnacentral:tRNA from 1 species
GAGUCUGUAGCUCAGCCGGUAGAGCGCCUCGGUCACAUCGAGGAGGCCAGUGGUUCGAUCCCACUCAGGCUCA